CGGAAAUCUCACCGGGGGCGACAGCAAUAUGAAGGUCAGGCUGAAGACCUUACCCGAUUAGCUGAGAGGUGGUGCAUGGCCGUCGUCAGUUCGUACUGUGAAGCAUCCUGUUAAGUCAGGCAACGAGCGAGACCCACGUCCACAGUUGCCAGCAUACCCUCCGGGGUGAUGGGUACACUGUGGAGACCGCCGCUGCUAAAGCGAAGGAAGGAGUGGGCAACGGUAGGUCAGUAUGCCCCGAAUCUCCCGGGCUACACGCGGGCUACAAUGGUUGGUACAAUGGGCAUCUACCCCGAAAGGGGAAGGAAAUCUCUUAAAGCCAAUCGUAGUUCGGAUUGAGGGCUGCAACUCGCCCUCAUGAAGCUGGAAUCCGUAGUAAUCGCGUUUCAACAGAACGCGGUGAAUACGUCCCUGCUC
rnacentral:rRNA from 1 species